rnacentral:rRNA from 1 species
GGUUAAGCGACUAAGCGUACACGGUGGAUGCCUAGGCAAUCAGAGGCGAUGAAGGACGUGCUAAUCUGCGAUAAGCGUCGGUAAGGUGAUAUGAACCGUUACAACCGACGAUUUCCGAAUGGGGAAACCCAGUGCAAUUCGUUGCACUAUCGUUUGAUGAAUACAUAGUCAAACGAAGCGAACCGGGGGAACUGAAACAUCUCAGUACCCCGAGGAAAAGAAAUCAACCGAGAUUCCCCUAGUAGCGGCGAGCGAACGGGGAGCAGCCCAGAGUCUUAAUCAGCAUUAGCAUCAGGAGAACGGUCUGGAAAGUCCGGCAGUAAAGGGUGAUAGCCCCGUAUCCGAAGGUGUUAGUGUUGUGAACUCGACGAGUAGGGCGGGACACGUGUUAUCCUGUCUGAAUAUGGGGGGACCAUCCUCCAAGGCUAAAUACUCCUGAUUGACCGAUAGUGAACCAGUACCGUGAGGGAAAGGCGAAAAGAACCCCGGCGAGGGGAGUGAAAUAGAACCUGAAACCGUGUACGUACAAGCAGUGGGAGCCCCAUCACUCAAGUGCCUCGGCAAUUGAGUGAGGGUGUAAAACCAUCACAAUAACAGCGCAGGAUUUGCCAACAAGAUUGGCUGAUUUUUUCAAGCCGCAGCGUAGUGGACAUCGAAGUCCAUGAGCAGCGGAAGUUAAAAAAUCGGGCAAGAUUGGCCGCAAAGACAAGCGGGACAUUUGAGGAUGGGGUGACUGCGUACCUUUUGUAUAAUGGGUCAGCGACUUAUAUUCUGUAGCAAGGUUAACCGUAUAGGGGAGCCGUAGGGAAACCGAGUCUUAACUGGGCGAAUAAGUUGCAGGGUAUAGACCCGAAACCCGGUGAUCUAGCCAUGGGCAGGUUGAAGGUUGGGUAACACUAACUGGAGGACCGAACCGACUAAUGUUGAAAAAUUAGCGGAUGACUUGUGGCUGGGGGUGAAAGGCCAAUCAAACCGGGAGAUAGCUGGUUCUCCCCGAAAGCUAUUUAGGUAGCGCCUCGUGAACUCAUCUUCGGGGGUAGAGCACUGUUUCGACUAGGGGGUCAUCCCGACUUACCAACUCGAUGCAAACUACGAAUACCGAAGAAUGUUAUCACGGGAGACACACGGCGGGUGCUAACGUUCGUCGUGAAGAGGGAAACAACCCAGACCGCCAGCUAAGGUCCCAAAGUCAUAGUUAAGUGGGAAACGAAGUGGGAAGGCUCAGACAGCCAGGAUGUUGGCUUAGAAGCAGCCAUCAUUUAAAGAAAGCGUAAUAGCUCACUGGUCGAGUCGGCCUGCGCGGAAGAUGUAACGGGGCUAAACUAUGCACCGAAGCUGCGGCAGCGAUAUGUAAAUAUUGUUGGGUAGGGGAGCGUUCUGUAAGCCUGUGAAGGUGUGCUGUGAGGCAUGCUGGAGGUAUCAGAAGUGCGAAUGCUGACAUAAGUAACGAUAAUGCGGGUGAAAAACCCGCACGCCGGAAGACCAAGGGUUCCUGUCCAACGUUAAUCGGGGCAGGGUGAGUCGACCCCUAAGGCGAGGCAGAAAUGCGUAGUCGAUGGGAAACGGGUUAAUAUUCCCGUACUGGUGAUAAUUGCGAUGGGGGGACGGAGAAGGCUAGGCUAUCCGGGCGACGGUUGUCCCGGUUUAAGGAUGUAGGCAGGUGAAUUAGGCAAAUCCGGUUCACUAUAUGCUGAGGUCCGAUGACGAGUCACUACGGUGAUGAAGUAGCUCAUGCCCCGCUUCCAGGAAAAGCCUCUAAGCUCUAGAUUAUCAUUAAUCGUACCCCAAACCGACACAGGUGGUCAGGUAGAGAAUACUCAGGCGCUUGAGAGAACUCGGGUGAAGGAACUAGGCAAAAUGGUGCCGUAACUUCGGGAGAAGGCACGCUGGCAUUAGGUGAAGUGAUUUACUCAUGGAGCUGAAGCCAGUCGCAGAUACCAGCUGGCUGCAACUGUUUAUUAAAAACACAGCACUGUGCAAACACGAAAGUGGACGUAUACGGUGUGACGCCUGCCCGGUGCUGGAAGGUUAAUUGAUGGGGUUAUCCGUAAGGAGAAGCUCUUGAUCGAAGCCCCAGUAAACGGCGGCCGUAACUAUAACGGUCCUAAGGUAGCGAAAUUCCUUGUCGGGUAAGUUCCGACCUGCACGAAUGGCGUAAUGAUGGCCAGGCUGUCUCCACCCGAGACUCAGUGAAAUUGAACUCGCUGUGAAGAUGCAGUGUACCCGCGGCAAGACGGAAAGACCCCGUGAACCUUUACUAUAGCUUGACACUGAACAUUGAGCCUUGAUGUGUAGGAUAGGUGGGAGGCUUCGAAGCGUGGACGCCAGUCUGCGUGGAGCCAACCUUGAAAUACCACCCUUUAAUGUUUGAUGUUCUAACGUUGCCCCAUUAUCUGGGGUGCGGACAGUGUCUGGUGGGUAGUUUGACUGGGGCGGUCUCCUCCCAAAGAGUAACGGAGGAGCACGAAGGUUGGCUAAGCAUGGUCGGACAUCAUGCGGUUAGUGCAAAGGCAUAAGCCAGCUUGACUGCGAGAGUGACGGCUCGAGCAGGUACGAAAGUAGGUCUUAGUGAUCCGGUGGUUCUGAAUGGAAGGGCCAUCGCUCAACGGAUAAAAGGUACUCCGGGGAUAACAGGCUGAUACCGCCCAAGAGUUCAUAUCGACGGCGGUGUUUGGCACCUCGAUGUCGGCUCAUCACAUCCUGGGGCUGAAGUAGGUCCCAAGGGUACGGCUGUUCGCCGUUUAAAGUGGUACGCGAGCUGGGUUUAGAACGUCGUGAGACAGUUCGGUCCCUAUCUGCCGUGGGCGUUGGAAGAUUGAAAGGGGCUGCUCCUAGUACGAGAGGACCGGAGUGGACGCACCACUGGUGUUCGGGUUGUCAUGCCAAUGGCAUUGCCCGGUAGCUAAGUGCGGAAGAGAUAACCGCUGAAAGCAUCUAAGCGGGAAACUUGCCUUGAGAUGAGUCUUCCCUGACCCUUUAAGGGUCCUAAAGGAACGUUUAAGACUAAGACGUUGAUAGGUUGGGUGUGUAAGCGUAGCGAUACGUUGAGCUAACCAAUACUAAUGAACCGUGAGGCUUAACCUG